rnacentral:rRNA from 1 species
AUUGAACGCUGGCGGAAUGCUUUACACAUGCAAGUCGAGCGGCAGCGCGGCCUUCGGGCUGGCGGCGAGCGGCGAACGGGUGAGUAAUGCAUCGGAACAUGCCCAGUCGUGGGGGAUAACACCUCGAAAGAAGUGCUAAUACCGCAUACGUCCUGAGGGGGAAAGCGGGGGAUCGCAAGACCUCGCGCGAUUGGAGUGGCCGAUGUCAGAUUAGCUAGUUGGUGGGGUAAAGGCCUACCAAGGCGACGAUCUGUAGCUGGUCUGAGAGGAUGAUCAGCCACACGGGGACUGAGACACGGCCCAGACUCCUACGGGAGGCAGCAGUGGGGAAUGUUGGACAAUGGGGGCAACCCUGAUCCAGCCAUUCCGCGUGAGUGAAGAAGGCCUUCGGGUUGUAAAGCUCUUUCGGCAGGAACGAAACGGUGGGCUCUAACAUAGUCCGCUAAUGACGGUACCUGAAGAAGAAGCACCGGCUAACUACGUG